UUAGAUAUUGCUAAACUGAAAAAACAAGUUUUUGAGGCAUCUCAGGCUCAUCUCACCCUAUUGCCUGGAGCUGAUAUUCUUGCUGGAGCCUCUGAUGGCCUUUCUAAUACCAAUCCUUUAAAGUGGAUUGAAACCAUAGGUGGAUCAACAAUUGCAAAUUUUAUUUUGGUUUGUGUCUGUUUAUGUUGCUUGUUUUUAGUCUACAGAUGCAGAUGGUGCCUUGGGAGAGAAACCAGACACCAUGAAUGAGCCAUAAUAGCAAUGGCAGUUAUUAAUAAAAAAAAAUCAAUAGAGGCAAAAAAGGGGAACAUGUGGGAAAGUGUUUCUGGGGUGCCAGUUGAGUUGGUCUCCCCUGUGUGAGACACCCAUGGGAAGCCAUGGGCAGCCUCUGGGGAGAAAAGUCUCCUUAUUGCUUUCAUGUCUUUAUGCCCCAAGAGCAUAACCACUCAGCAGCAUUCCACAGGUUGCUCAGGGAGACAACACUCCCUUGAAGCAGUGGAGUAUAAUCAAACAUCUUGGCUCCUCCUUAAACCCGCUCCCACCCAUUUCAGUCCUGAUAAGCUAAAGAUCUUAAGUAGUUUAGACACACGCCUUUGCUCAAGGAAAUUCACAGAAACCGCCACUGCUACACAUCUUAUGGAAUGACUCACGAGUUCUCCUUCACUGAUUAAUCCUUUUCCUCAUCCCUUCCUCCCCCUCCCAUCUGCCCUAAGAACAAAGAGCUUGUAAACCAGUAAAUUUGGCAGAGCUCAAGAGCUCUGGGCCGUGAGCAAGCCUCCGAUAUUCUGGUCCCCUGAACCCGCCUUUUAAAUGCUUAUUCUGUCUCUUUCUAACUCCUAUGUCUCCACCAGACUCAGGGUACCCACUGGGUGGUGUGGGGCUGGUUUCCCUAACAUUCCCCACCAAAUAAAGCAGCUCCAACCUUCUAGAUGGUUGCUCAGCUCAGAAGUCUUAGAGAAAUUCUGAUGCCUCUCCUCACAUUUGCUCUGUCGGCAAAUCCUGGUGUCACAAGAGGGCUCAGGAGGGUUUCUGGAUGCCAACGAGACCCCAGCCACAGCCGGUCCCCAGAUUCUUGACAUCAUCACAAGAAAGAAUUCACAGGGUUGCUUCAGCGUCCUCACAACAGGAUGGCUGACUUCCCCAAGAGAGCAGCUCAAGAGAGAGCAAGGAGAAAGACACAACAUCUUUAAUGAUCUAUGCUUGGAAGCUAUAUGUUGCCACUUUUGCAAUAUCCUACAGAUCGCUUAGCUCCAUCCAACAUGGAAAGGGAUCAGACACGGGCAUCAUUGCCAGAUGAUAAUCCCUGAUGGUCAUCUUGGAUGCUGGCCACCACAGUUACAUUUGAGGCAGAGGUUAUGGGGUUUUGGGAGGAAGACCUCAGAGGUAAAGUGCCUCUCUCAUCGCAUGUCGAGGGUGCCUACCAUCAACGUGACGGGUCACUGUUAAUGUGGACCUUCAUCACCUGGCUGAGGCUGGGCUUACCAGGUUUCUCCACUGUACGCUCACUCUGCCUCCACCCCUUUCCAUACUGCAUGCACUCUUUGGAAGGAAGACACCGUGUGCUGCCUACACUUAAGGAAUGAGGCAUUAUGUUCCCCCAACUCUUGAGGACAAAGUGUCUGCAUGAAUUAUUUGGAAUAUUCUUCCACAUGGGUGAUUCGCCUUCUGCCAUGAUUGGAAGCUUCCCGAGGCUCUCACCAGGAGCAGAUGCCAGUGCCAUGCUUCCUG
rnacentral:lncRNA from 1 species